rnacentral:lncRNA from 1 species
ACUAUAAUUCUAGAACUACUACAACAAAAACGGUUUAUAGCGACACCUUUAAAUGUCGGUACAUGUCAAAAAAACUACUACUGACUAAAUUACCGACACUUUUAAAAUGUGUUGCUAUAUGUGGGGUCGCUAGAUAUAUAGUGACAGUUAAAGAGUGUCGGUAUAAUCUAAAAUGAGUGUUGCUAAUUUACUAACACUUCUUUAAGCAUUUAGUAACCGCCGGAACUCUACCUCUUUGUUUGCGGUGGUGGAGGAUGAGGAGAGGAAAUGACUCUUCGGCUAGAAUUGCAGUGAAUUGAGUGAGAGAAGAAGGGGAAAUGAUAAUCGAUUUUUCUUUUUUUUUUCUUUUCUGUUUGUAAUCGGGCCGAAUGGGCUGGAUAGGGUGGGUUGAGUAGAGUAACCUUUUAUUUUUUGUUGGAUUAGGCUUUAUAUUUAGGCAUUAGUAGAUUUCUUUUUAAAUUUUGACAUAAAUGGGAUACUUACACAAAAGUAUCCCAAACAUGUAUCACUAUAACCUAAUUCUGUUGUAGUGAACGAUUACAUUAACCUAAUAUUUGACCGUUCCAACGAAAAUUUGCGCUUUCC